UCUUAGUUCCGUGUUAUUUUUCUGUUUUCUCUUGGUUCCUCUUGAAUAUAAUCUUCUAUAUUUAUUAAAACACAAGAAGUUAUUAUUCUGUUUUCUCUUAUGGUUACAUUAUACUUGGGUUCUUGGUUCUUUGGAAGAUAAUUUAUGGAGUUCUCUCUAUUUUAGAUCUGGAAUGUUUGGGCCAUUUAUUUACAUGAGACUUUAUUCUAGUCAAAAUCUAACAGUUUGGGUUGCUGCUGCUCGGACAAUUCGUUCAGAGGGCAGUUUGAGUGCUGAUAAUCAGGCAGAGAUUGUCGAGGAAAGCAUCAAACAUGCAAAGGAAGCUAUAAUGCUGGAUAUGAAAGAUGGGAAUUCUUGGUCAAUCUAGUUUUUGUCAUCAACCCCAUAUGGUGGCUGCUAUAGCAAUUACCAACUAUCAUGGAGGCAGGUAAAAUAUUUUUAUUUGAUUUCAAAUAUCUACUCUAUUGUAGCUGCUGGUUAGUAUUUUUGGACUAAAAGAUGUUUGUUUUUAAAUUAAAAGACUUAUUGAUAGUUCUUUGUAAACCUAAUGCCCUUAGUUGAUGUUGUUGUUAUUAAAUGGUUUCGUCUAGUUUAUUUAGUUGAUUAGGUGCAUAAUUGAGUUUGUUCUUUUAAAAAAGUUUAUUGUGUAUUGAAAAAUGGAUUUAUUUGCUUUAUUUUAUAACUAAAAAAAAGCUACGUUCGGCAUGUGAUUGGCUUAUAUAACAUUGCUUUUAUAGGGCCAUUGAAUUAUCUUAUUAAUUUUGAAAAUGUUUUAUUGAUGUUUUAAAAUUUUUUGAUCAUUUCUUAAUACCUCAAGAAAUAUUUUUGUCCUUGAGUCGUCGGUUUUUUGACUUAAGUGAAGUUUCCUUUGUCAUGCAGACAAGAAAUACAAUAGGGUUAGUUGCACUAGCUAUUGCCGCGGGUUUAGGUGCCUUAACACAUACAUUGGGCACCCUCGUCUCUGUGAUAGGAGCAAGUGGAUUUACUGCAAUUGCAGCAACAACUGUUAUAGGAACUGUUGUCAGUAGUUUUAGAUAAUCUCUUAAUAGUUGUCGAUAUGUUUAGAAAGUUAGAUAUGCAUAGUUUUGGAUGGUUUAAACUUUUUGUACAGUUUAGAACUUAAGGAUAUAGUUUUCGAAUGUUUGGAAUGUA